CAAGGGCGUAUAUUAAUGUUGUUGCAGUUAAAAAGCUCGUAGUUGGAUUUCUGGUGGGAGCGAUUGGUCUGCCCCGCGAGGGGUAUGUUACCGGUUCGUAUCCGGCCCUAUUCGGGUUGAUCGUGGCUGGCAUUAAUUUGUCGGUGCGGGAGGCCCGCCGUUUACUUUGAAAAAAUUAGAGUGUUCAAAGCAGGCCUACGCUUGAAUACAUUAGCAUGGAAUAAUGGAAUAGGACUUUGGUGCUAUUUUGUUGGUUUAUGGGACCGAAGUAAUGAUUAACAGGGACAGUUGGGGCCGUUUAUAUUUCGUUGUCAGAGGUGAAAUUCUUGGAUUUACGAAAGAUAAACUUCUGCGAAAGCAUUCGGCAAGGAUGUUUUCAUUGA
rnacentral:rRNA from 1 species